AGUUAGUGAUAUGCUUUUUUGUGUAGGGAAGAUGAGCCAUUCCUCCUCGCAAGUAAGCUAGGACAGCUACUAUCCUUCUUGUUUCCAGGAACUUCUCAAUGUCUUCUUCAUCAAGGUAUCCAGCGUCUCCAUCUUGUGCAAGUUCAUGUUGUUGAACAGGUUAUUGUCCCAGGGAUUGGAUUCUCUCCGGUCAUCUGCACUUGCUGCCAUUUCAUGAUGCAAGUCUACCUCCAGUGUCUGCAAAGGUUGCCAGUUCAGUGAAGCCCGAAAUAUGUGGCAAACGAAAUUUGAUGAAGCAAAUCGUCAGGCUUCUGUCAAUGCGAGAGCCUAAGAGAGUGAAAGAGAGAUGAUGCAGAGGAGUUACUAACCUGUGGAUCAUGUAGUUCAUCUCCUUGGUGAUCAGCAGCAUGUUGGUAUCUAUGGUGGCUCAGAAGAAGGCAAACACAUAAUGAGACAAUACCCCCAAUGAGCAGAAAUGCUAUUGCAGUCCAGGCGAUUUGCGCCAAUUUUCAGAGAGCUUCUUCAGGCACGUAUGGGACUACACCUGGGGAGCAAUGUUGGAAAAAACCACCUUCAGGAAUAGUCAAGAUAAACGUGGAUGCAUCUUUCCAUGAGAAUGAAGGGAAAGGAGCAACGGGGGCUGUGAUCAGAGAUAGCCAUGGUUCUUUCAUUGCGGCAUCAUGUACGUUAAUCCCGCAUGUGAUAGAUGAUAACAUGGCGGAAACAAUGGCAAUGAAAAAUGGCCUUCAGUUGGCGGAGUCUUUGGGAUAUACCUCAAUUCAGAUUGAAGCUGACCCCCUUCAAGUUUUUAAUGCAUGCUCAGGCCAGGAGAGGAUAUGGAGUGAAUCUACAUCUAUUUUUGCAGACUGCUUCGUUUUAGCAGGUAUGAUCGGGAAUGUGGAGUUUGUGCACUGUCGACGGGAAGCAAACGGUGUUGCCCACCUCUUAGCCAAACAUUCAUAUGAUAAUGAUAUAUCUAGUAAUUGGGUUGAGGAACCCCCAGAUUUUCUUGUAAACGCUCUUGUGAACGAUGUAAUGAUAUUGCCGAAUCAAUAAAACUAGCCAUGA